GUGGGGAAUAUUGGACAAUGGGCGCAAGCCUGAUCCAGCCAUACCGCGUGGGUGAAGAAGGCCUUCGGGUUGUAAAGCCCUUUUGUUGGGAAAGAAAUCCUGUCGGUUAAUACCUGGCGGGGAUGACGGUACCCAAAGAAUAAGCACCGGCUAACUUCGUGCCAGCAGCCGCGGUAAUACGAAGGGUGCAAGCGUUACUCGGAAUUACUGGGCGUAAAGCGUGCGGAUGUGGUGGUUUAAGUCCGUUGUGAAAGCCCUGGGCUCAACCUGGGAAUUGCAGUGGAUACUGGAUCACUAGAGUGUGGUAGAGGGAUGCGGAAUUUCUGGUGUAGCAGUGAAAUGCGUAGAGAUCAGAAGGAACAUCCGUGGCGAAGGCGGCAUCCUGGGCCAACACUGACACUGAGGCACGAAAGCGUGGGGAGCAAACAGGAUUAGAAACCCGGGUAGUCC
rnacentral:rRNA from 1 species